AACGAACGCUGGCGGCAUGCCUAACACAUGCAAGUCGAACGGGAUCCAGGCUUCGGUCUGGUGAGAGUGGCGGACGGGUGAGUAACACGUGGGAACCUGCCUUUUGGUUCGGGAUAACCGCGGGAAACUGCGGCUAAUACCGGAUGCUCCCGAGAGGGGAAAGAUUUAUCGCCAGAAGAGGGGCCCGCGUCCGAUUAGGUAGUUGGUGAGGUAAUGGCUCACCAAGCCGACGAUCGGUAGCUGGUCUGAGAGGAUGAUCAGCCACACUGGGACUGAGAUACGGCCCAGACUCCUACGGGAGGCAGCAGUGGGGAAUAUUGGACAAUGGGGCAACCCUGAUCCAGCAAUGCCGCGUGAGUGAUGAAGGCCUUAGGGUUGUAAAGCUCUUUUGCCAGGGAAGAUGAUGACUGUACCUGGAGAAUAAGCCCCGGCUAACUUCGUG
rnacentral:rRNA from 1 species